AAGAAUCCUUGUUAGGUGAGGCUUCUACAUAGAACAUACGCCACUGCCCGGAAAUGUCGAGAGACACCAAUGGGAUAACAGGUUUUGUCGGAUUAAGGCGGAAUCAAGAUGGCACAGGUAGACGUUUUGGGCGAAUUCUUUUUCAGCCGUGUGGUUGGAAUGCCGAUUAUCGACGCUGAAGGGAAAAA
rnacentral:sRNA from 2 species